CGCGUAGGCGGCCCUCCUAGUCGCGUGUGAAAGCCCCGGGCUCAACCUGGGAACGGCGCGCGAAACGGGGGGGCUGGAGUUCGGGAGAGGAGCGUGGAAUUCCCAGUGUAGAGGUGAAAUUCGUAGAUAUUGGGAAGAACACCGGUGGCGAAGGCGGCGCUCUGGACCGAGACUGACGCUGAGGCGCGAAAGCGUGGGGAGCAAACAGGAUUAGAUACCCUGGUAGUCCACGCUGUAAACGAUGUGUGCUAGACGUUGGGGAGCCUAGCUCUUCGGUGUCGCAGCUAACGCUUUAAGCACACCGCCUGGGGAGUACGGCCGCAAGGUUAAA
rnacentral:rRNA from 1 species